rnacentral:rRNA from 1 species
GACGAACCGUGCGAACGUUGUUCGGAAUCACUGGGCUUAAAGGGCGCGUAGGCGGGCUCACAAGUCAGGGGUGAAAUCCCACGGCUCAACCGUGGAAGUGCCUUUGAUACUGUGGGUCUUGAGGGAGGUAGGGGCGUGCGGAACUUCCGGUGGAGCGGCGAAAUGCGUAGAUAUCGGAAGGAACACCGGUGGCGAAAGCGGCGCGCUGGACCUCUACUGACGCUGAGGCGCGAAAGCCAAGGGAGCAAACGGG